rnacentral:rRNA from 1 species
AUUGAACGCUGGCGGCAUGCUUUACACAUGCAAGUCGAACGGCAGCACAGAAGAGCUUGCUCUUUGGGUGGUGAGUGGCGGACGGGUGAGUAACACGUAGGAAUCUACCCAGUAGUGGGGGAUAACCUGGGGAAACCCAGGCUAAUACCGCAUACGCCCUGAGGGGGAAAGCGGGGGAUCUUCGGACCUCGCGCUAUUGGAUGAGCCUGCGUCGGAUUAGCUAGUUGGUGGGGUAAGGGCCCACCAAGGCGACGAUCCGUAGCUGGUCUGAGAGGAUGACCAGUCACACCGGAACUGAGACACGGUCCGGACUCCUACGGGAGGCAGCAGUGGGGAAUAUUGGACAAUGGGCGCAAGCCUGAUCCAGCCAUGCCGCGUGGGUGAAGAAGGCCUCGGUUGUAAGCCUUAGUG